AAUGACUCUCUCAUUAGUCAAAAAUUAUCGGCUAAUACAUAGAAGAUUAGUACAACCUCUACGCAAGGAAGACAUGCAAACUCAUGAAAUGUUCCAUAUUUAG